CUGAGGUGGGCCCAGAUUAGACUGGGUUGGACUGAGGUGGGCCCAGAUUAGACUGGGUUGGACUGAGGUGGGCCCAGAUUAGACUGGGUUGGAUAUCAUGGUGAUGUCACAUUGUGAUGUCACAUGGCAUUGGGAGAAUUUAACUGAUAGUUGGUCUCUUCAACUAGUCUUGAAUAAUGGCAGGUUUGAACUAUUGAGUUUGCACUUUAUUUUAAAUCAAAUAUAGUAUUCAUGAACAUGUCAUUUUUAUUUUUUAAUCAUUUUUUAUUUUAUUUCAUUACAACCUAAAUGAAAGAAGUUCACACUUCUGGAAAUUAUACUUAAGCAUUUUUGUUGCUUGUUGUGUUGUUGAUGGGAAUUCUGAUGUUUACAUCCCCUUAAAAAUUGUACUCAUCAUAUAGGUUACGUCCCAAAUUGCAGCCUAUUCCCUUCGUAGUGCACUACUGUUGAGCAGAGUCCUAUUGGCCCUUGUCAAAUGUAUUGCACUAUAAUAGGGAAUUGGGUGGCAUUUGGGAUGUAGGCAGUCUCGUUCACUAGUCUGUCUCUCUGGACAUUAGCUACAAGGGGAUGUUACUUGGAGGUUACCCAUCAUAGAACUGAAAGAUCCUCUCCGGUACUUGUUAGCCAGUAGUUCUGGACAAAAUUAGGCCCCUGAAAGUGGUAUAGUACGGCGUAUGUCCCACCACAUUGCUCUCUGCUCAUAGAUGAUGCAUGUAUGAACUACACAUUGACACAUCCAGCCCAAAGCGGGAGUAAAAAUUUUUUUUUAAAAAGAGUACUAUUUGCCAAAGUACCGGAGCAUGUCAGUAGUUGAGGCGGCAGGUAGCCUAGUGGUUAAAGCGUUGGGCCAGUAACCGAAAGGUUGCUGGAUUGAAUCCCCAAACUGACAAGGUAAAAAUCUGUCAUUCUGCCCCUGAACAACACAGUUAACAAACUGUUCCCCGGUGGCCGUCAUUGUAUAUAAGAAUUUGUUCUUAACUGACUUGCCUAGUUAAAUAAAGGUACAUGUUUAUUAUCUUUUUUUUUUAAUGUCUUUUAAUGGAAAUAAAUAUUUGCAUAUCAUGAAUACCUCAACUAUCAACACAGCUUGUCUUGGGGUUUUUACAGAUGUAUGUUAAGCCAGAGUAAUAUUGUACAUUUUGAGUCACAAUGUACUGUAAUUUCAGCAAAAAUAAAAACGAAUGCGUAUAUAAGAAAAGAUGAGCAUAUUUCCUCACUAUCUGAAAUGCUCUCCGCUAUCUGAAAUGCUCUCCGCUAUCUGAAAUGCUCUCCGCUAUCUGAAAUGCUCUCCGCUAUCUGAAAUGCUCUCCGCUAUCUGAAAUGCUCUCCGCUUAAGUUGUUUGGACUUCCUUGUAUGCUUUCUGUUUAAUUGUCCUGUUUUUACUGAGCUGUUGAGUGCCAUGGAGAGAGUGGUUUGGGGUGAUGUCUUCUUUAACUUCUCUAUAGGAGCUACACCAGGGUUCCCACCAGGGUUCCCCAACUUGUGGCCCGCAGGUGGUUUUAUUUGGACAGUAGAGAUAACAGCGAGAGGUAUCACUAUGGACAGACUGGACAGUAGGGAUACCUCUCGCUGUAAUCACUAUGGACAGACUGGACAGUAGAGAUACC
ensembl:lncRNA